rnacentral:misc_RNA from 1 species
UUUAGAGGCAGUAAAAGUCGUAACAAGGUUUCCGUAGCUCAAGUACGGGACAGCUUGACCGCCAGGUCAAGGUGAUCCUUCCGCGUAACACUUGCCGAAGCCUUAGCAGCCCGAAAGGGUGCAGUUCCGCGACCCAAAGAAAGGAGGACUGCUGAAAUGCUAGUCUGCAGAAGCAGGCAACACUAUCAAAUUGCGGGAACACCCUAAAGACCUCAACACCAAGCGUCAUGGGAAACCAUGGCGUGGCCGAGCUAAUAGCCCUGGGUAUGGUAACAGCUUGAGGUAUGAAGCCUUCGCAAGGAGGCUGAAAUGGGCAAUCCGCAGCCAAGUCCUAACGUGCUCGAAACCGA